rnacentral:tRNA from 1 species
GACCGUGUAGCUCAGUUGGCAGAGCAUUGGACUAGUAUUCCAAAGGUCGUAGGUUCGAUUCCCACCCUUGCCA